GACGAACGCUGGCGGCGUGCUUAACACAUGCAAGUCGAACGGAAAGGCCCCUUUGGGGGUACUCGAGUGGCGAACGGGUGAGUAACACGUGAGUAACCUGCCCUUGACUUCGGGAUAACUUCAGGAAACUGGGGCUAAUACCGGAUAGGAAUCCUUGCUGCAUGGUGGGGGUUGGAAAGCUUCGGCGGUUUUGGAUGGACUCGCGGCUUAUCAGCUUGUUGGUGGGGUAGUGGCUUACCAAGGCUUUGACGGGUAGCCGGCCUGAGAGGGCGACCGGCCACAGUGGGACUGAGACACGGCCCAGACUCCGACGGGAGGCAGCAGUGGGGAAUAUUGCACAAGGGGCGGAAGCCAGAUGCAGCAACGCCGCGUGCGGGAUGACGGCCUUCGGGUUGUAAACCGCUUUCAGCAGGGGCGAAGCUUGUGGUGACGGUACCUGCAGAAGAAGCACCGGCUAACUACGUG
rnacentral:rRNA from 1 species